rfam:Brassica napus, WGS project CCCW01000000 data, contig: 25135
GCCCGAUGAAGAAGAAUUCCCAAAAGAUAGGAAGUGCCGUAUGACAAUUAAACGUAGAUUCGGACUG